UACGUAGGGUGCAAGCGUUAAUCGGAAUUACUGGGCGUAAAGCGUGCGCAGGCGGUUUUGUAAGUCUGUCGUGAAAUCCCCGGGCUCAACCUGGGAAUUGCGAUGGAGACUGCAAGGCUAGAAUCUGGCAGAGGGGGGUAGAAUUCCACGUGUGAGCAGUGAAAUGCGUAGAGAUGUGGAGGAACACCGAUGGCGAGGGCAGCCCCCUGGGUCAAGAUUGACGCUCAUGCACGAAAGCGUGGGGAGCAAACAGG
rnacentral:rRNA from 1 species